rnacentral:rRNA from 1 species
AGAGUUUGAUCCUGGCUCAGAACGAACGCUGGCGGCGUGCUUAACACAUGCAAGUCGAACGCGAAAGUUUUCUUCGGAAAAUGAGUAGAGUGGCGCACGGGUGAGUAACGCGUAAAUAAUCUACCCUUGCAUCUGGGAUAACCCACCGAAAGGUGUGCUAAUACCGGAUACGUUCUUUUAACCGCGAGGUUUUAAGAAGAAAGGUGGCCUCUGAUAUAAGCUACUGUGCAGGGAGGAGUUUGCGUACCAUUAGCUAGUUGGUAGGGUAAUGGCCUACCAAGGCAACGAUGGUUAGCGGGUCUGAGAGGAUGAUCCGCCACACUGGAACUGGAACACGGACCAGACUCCUACGGGAGGCAGCAGUGAGGAAUAUUGCGCAAUGGGGGCAACCCUGACGCAGCGACGCCGCGUGGAUGAUGAAGGCCUUCGGGUCGUAAAAUCCUGUCAGAUGGAAAGAAGUGUAUAUGUGUUAAUAUCACAUAUAUUUGACGGUACCAUCAAAGGAAGCACCGGCUAACUCCGUGCCAGCAGCCGCGGUAAUACGGAGGGUGCAAGCGUUGUUCGGAAUUACUGGGCGUAAAGCGCGCGUAGGUGGUCUGU